rnacentral:rRNA from 1 species
GAUGAACGCUGGCGGCGUGCCUAAUACAUGCAAGUCGAGCGAACGGACGAGAAGCUUGCUUCUCUGAUGUUAGCGGCGGACGGGUGAGUAACACGUGGAUAACCUACCUAUAAGACUGGGAUAACUUCGGGAAACCGGAGCUAAUACCGGAUAAUAUUUUGAACCGCAUGGUUCAAAAGUGAAAGACGGUCUUGCUGUCACUUAUAGAUGGAUCCGCGCUGCAUUAGCUAGUUGGUAAGGUAACGGCUUACCAAGGCAACGAUGCAUAGCCGACCUGAGAGGGGGAUGGGCCAAAGGGAAACUGAGCACGGGGCCAGAAACCGCGGGGAGGCAGGGAGGGGGAAUUUGCCGAAAUGGGGGAAAGCCUGCGGGAGCAACCCCGGGUGGGUGAUGAAGGUUUUGGGAUGGGAAAACUCUGUUAUUAGGGAAAAAAAUAUGUGAAAGUAACGGUGCACAUCUUGACGGGACCUAAUCAAAAAGCCACGGCUAACUACGG